GCGGUUUUUUGGGAGAAAAAGUUUUACUUUUCCGAAAUUUUUGAUCAAGCGUUUUGCGGCUAUGAGUUAGAGUAAUCCGUACCCCCUGCUUCUAGCGCCAAACUGUGGGAACCAAAAUUCGCACUGUCGAUUUACGUUUAAAUUAGGAAACUAAGAAAACCCUAUUUUCCCAGAGGUCCCGGAUCUCUGCGAGAGCCAAUGACAAGUGACCAAAUAUAUGCGGAAAUCGUGAAAAGAUAACAAACGAGUUUAGAGAAAACAGUAGAUCUUAUUUCGAGUCUGCGUAAGAGCAUUGCGAUCAUUACAAAAGCUCAUAAGAGCUUUGGCCGCAAAGGCUGUCAGCGAGUUACCUAGUUCUA